CCUACGGGAGGCUGCAGUGGGGAAUAUUGGACAAUGGGGGCAACCCUGAUCCAGCCAUGCCGCAUGUGUGAAGAAGGCCCUCGGGUUGUAAAGCACUUUCAGUGAGGAAGAACGCCUGGUGGUUAAUACCCAUCAGGAAAGACAUCACUCACAGAAGAAGCACCGGCUAACUCCGUGCCAGCAGCCGCGGUAAUACGGAGGGUGCGAGCGUUAAUCGGAAUUACUGGGCGUAAAGCGCGCGUAGGUGGCUUGAUAAGCCGGUUGUGAAAGCCCCGGGCUCAACCUGGGAACGGCAUCCGGAACUGUCAAGCUAGAGUGCAGGAGAGGAAGGUAGAAUUCCCGGUGUAGCGGUGAAAUGCGUAGAGAUCGGGAGGAAUACCAGUGGCGAAGGCGGCCUUCUGGACUGACACUGACACUGAGGUGCGAAAGCGUGGGUAGCAAACAGGAUUAGAUACCCUGGUAGUC
rnacentral:rRNA from 1 species